UACCCUUUUAGUAUAAAUAGUACAAUUGACUUCCAAUCAAUUAGCUUCGGUUAAUCCCGAAAAAGAGUAA
rnacentral:tRNA from 1 species